GUAGGUUGGUAAAUAUGCAUGCGAACAUCUAUGAUUGGGCUGGAGAUCGAGGCAUCGUUAACUCCUUCUUCAUGCUGCAGCGGCACUGAGUGCGGUGGGGGCAAGGCAAGAUGAGCCGUGCUGCAGAUGCGCGUGUCCUCUCAUUUACCCACCUACUUGGUGCAUUUGCGGCGGCAUAUGGCAAGGCUCCUGCCCUUCCGCCUGCAACAACUGCCAGUGUGUCCUCAACGAGUGCACUUGCCUCGAUCUUAUGGACCCCAAGGUCUGCGAGGCCAACUCCUGUCCCUGGCCUGUUGCAGCCCCCAAAGUAGAGCCGGCGCAGCAGUGGGCUAUCGAAGAAACCGGUGGGAAAUUAGCGAUGAUGGUGUGAUCCAAUUGUGUUUGUGAUCGCCUGUCGUCUUCUCUCGCUCCGUCCUAUCCAUCUAUCCAUCCAUCUACUUAUAAUCUAUGUCGUGUACCGUCGUGUGGUGUUGCUUUGCUUCAGUAAUAAAAAUAAAAUGCUUCUGCUUUUAUCGCGACGGAUGCAUCGUUGCACUGCUAAUUGUGUACCUAAUUUUGGCAUGAGAGUUUGGAAAAGUUCAUCUCGGAAAAUUGCUCGACAGGUGACUUCCGGGAGAAAGGAGAAAAUAUAGGAGACAAUAGUAGUGUAACAAAUCUUUUUUAGUUCAUCACUAAACUAAUAUAAUAUAUAGGAGAUAUAAUAUAGAUGGCAUAAGUGUUAAUAGAAAUUGAUUUGUGAUAUAAGCUAAUAGAUAAUUUAAACAUCCAUUAAAAGUCCGAUUCCAUGCAAUCUAAUAAUUCAUUGUACUUGUAAUGAGUCAAUUACGGGGUAAUAGAUGGUUGUAAUUGACUGAAGUCACUGAACAUUAAAGGGGUAAAAGCCAUCCACGUACUUUCUUUUCAUUGUCUACUAACAUGAUCUGUCGGAAAUUUUCAAUCAGAUGUUCUUUCAACAAAACAUAUCUCCGGAGGAACACUCCACACUAUGAAGAGAUGAUAUAUCGACCGCUAAUCUCCAUGCCUUCUCUUGCCUUUCUUUACUCCAAACCUCCAUAUUGCUUUAAUUAUGUUGUUUGUUCUGCCCAUUACUGUGAAGCAAAAUAAAUAAAUAAAUAUAUAUAUAUGUGUUAUUUAAAAAAUUAUUAAUAUAUAGGGAUCGAUCAACAACUAAAAUGUUGAUCGCAAUGAAGUCCAAAUCACAUCAAAGUUGCCUUCUGAUUGAAAUGUUGCAACAAUUAUGUGGAUCAAUAUUCCACAAGCAUCGUACAUGAAAACGACGUGUGUGGUAGCAUUAUUGAUGUGAGUAGGUGUCAUUGCUGAUUGGACAUCGUAGAAAACGUGCUCCAUAUCAUCCUUCUUCUUUGGAAGAUAAGGAUGAAUGGAUGGCAAAUAUAGAACGCAAGAAACGCUUCUCUUAGUAGGAAUGGCACAUUGAAUUAAAUUAGAGUGUACAGUGGAUAAAAUUUUACUCGGAUUAUCACUUAUGUUGGAUAGAUAAAUUUACACUUGAUUUGCGAUAUAAGAGUUUCCUACUGGAAGCUCACUCAGCAAGUACGUCUGCCUUUGAAUAAAUGGCAUGAUAUGUUUUAGAUAUGUCAAUAUCGAAACUCUCGUCGGUGGGUAUAUAGUAACUUUAUGAUUCUCUUUGUACUCACCGGAGUUUAUCUCUAAGAUAAUAUCAUGAUACUAAUAUAAUAAAAAUUAGAGGGACAUAUAUAAAGGUAGAAGCCCAACUUAACUUUUCUUUUAUCCUUCUUAUUAUGUCCAAAAGACUCUUCCUACAAAGGAUCAUUAUCUAACUAGAGUAUCAAAAGAGAGUCGCAGGGAUCCUUUGGUGAUCCUCUUUUGUUUUGUAAUUCCCUCUUCAGAUAAUUAGAUCUUUUGGAUCUUGUUUUGCUCCACAAUGUUCUAUCGUCCAAAUAUAAUAAAAAUUAGAGGGACAUGGAUAAGAGUAGAUAACUUGGUAGGGUUGGGUUGGUUGAAUUUGCUGGGGUGAGAUAGAUAAAGUGAGUUCUUCAGUAGCAACAUUGUUAUUUAUAGGAGUUGAAUCAUCAUAGGCUUGUAAGUCAAAAGUGGUAAAUUUGUAAUGAUAAUAAUAAGACUUACGAUUUGGUUGCACAGUUGAUCAAGGAAAUGUGUUCAUGGAAAAUAACAUUCGACUUGUGAAUAUUUAUUUAGUCUCUAAAUUAUAGACUUUAUAAGCCUUUUGAUUGAAGGGAUAUCCAAUAAAAAUGUAUUUUUGAGUACGUAUAUUUUUGGGUUGAAUGUUUAUAGAAAUACAUAAACAAUCAAAUACACGUAGAAGGUCAUAAAUAAAUAUAUUAUCGAUUAUAAAUAACUUUAAAUGGUAUCUUUCUUGAACGGAGGGAUAUGGUUAGAAGACUAAUAAGUUUAGUUGUUGUUAGCACACUGUAAAAAAACUUCGUACAGGAUUGAACUUACUUUCAUUAUCUACUAGAAUUCAUCUUACCUUUCGACGAAAUUGAUUUUCAACAAAAAUAUAAAAAGAUUUUAAAAGUGUUUGUGUUUCAUAUUUAAAGUGGAUGAGAUAUAUCCAUGUAUUCCUAGAACAAUCAUCUACAAUAGCUAGAAAAUAAUGAUGGGAGACCAAGAUGUCUAUGCCAUAGAUCAUGUUGUGAAGAUAUAUUAUUGACUUUUGUGAUGGGUAGUAUUGUUAGAGGUGAUGUAUAUGUAGAAAAGAAGUAGAGACCAAUUAUCUUCUUCAUUGCCAAAUCUUGUAAGAGGCAAAAAUCAGAAGGAAAAAAAAGUGAUUGAGCAAUUCAAAAAUUUAGUUAUCAUGCUGAUUGAUAAUAGAUUAACAUAAAAUGAAGACACGCAAACAAUAUCUAAAAGAAUAAUUUCAUGAUUAAGUUUGGUGGAACCAAUAGAAGUUAUUUGUGUUUUUCUUCCAUCAGGUAGUCCAAUAACAGAAUGUGAAAAGAUAUUUGUUUUACGUAAUAGACGAGGAAAUAACGCAAUAUGAUCAUCUGUAGCACCACUACGAGAUAAGAAAUAAAAAAAAAAAUAGAAUAACCUGUAACAUUUGCCUAUGGCAAAGUGUUACCAUUGCUUAAGAAGGCCAAAAGUUGAUAUUAUUCAUGCGCAAAAAUUGGAGUAUAUGACCAGUUAUUGACAGAUGCCUUUAUUCUAUUUCCUGAUUUCUCAUUUUUCUUGUAAACUUUAUAUUCAAGAGGGAAGCCAUGUAAAUGAUAGCAUUUGUCAGCGGUCCGAUUGUUCCCAUUACAAUGGCCACAAUAAAACUUUCCUUUCGUAUUAUUUGAUGAGUUGAUAACAGGAUUGCUUUUUCGAGCACUUGCCAUCAUGACCUCUUUAAAAACAAUCAAUUCUAAUUGUUUUUCUUCUGAAUUAUUGAGAAUUUUGUAAGCAUAAAAUCUGUGAUAUUAUAUAUAUAUAUAUAUAUAUAUAUAUAUAUAUAUAUAUAUAUAUAUAAUACGAAAAAAAUUUUAUGUCAUGAUUGAAAUCAAAUAACAUUAGAUUAUAUUUACGAUAUAUAUCUUUUGAUGUCAUCUGAAAAAGAUAUUUGUGUGAUCUGCAAAGAUAUUGUCCUCCGACUUCGACUAUCACAAUGACGUCAAUCUACAAGAAAUCAUAAUCUCUUAAUUGCAUUCUCUAUGACAUAUAUCAUAGAGUCCCUAGAGGUAUAUCUUUUUAUAAGCGAGAGUAAACGGUUUAAGAUAGGUUAUUAUGAGAUUUCCUCUUAUCAUCAUGGACGUCCCUUAAAUAAUUUUACUAUAAUAUAGAUUUUUUUUUAUUGAUCAAUAUCUAUCAUCAAAAUCAAAUUAAUUAUAUUAUAUAUUUUAUCCAAUUAUGAACGAUCACAUAAUCUAACAAAUUUAACCAUAAAUAGUAGAAUAUGACUCAUUUAAACCCAUGAGAAAUUGCAUUACCUUACUCCUUUGCUCAUGUUCAUCAACUUUCUUGAUUGCACCACAUGUUAUGUGGAAAGUUCAUCCCAUAACCCCUUUAAUUUGGUAAAAUAUACAGCGAGCGAUAGACGUUGACCCAUGUAGUAGUGAAUUUAGAAUAUUCUAGGAGUAUUAUUUUGUGAAAAUCUUUCUUUCAGAUCAGUUAAAACAUCAAUAGCAGAAUCGACAUAUAUGUCACUAUUAGCAAGAUUAGAAUCCACAGAGUUGAAGAUCCAUGAUAAUACUAUAUUAUUGCAUUCUUUUCACAUGGAAAAAUUUGUGUCGGUUGUUGACGAUGUCUUGAUCGAUCCAACAACGAAACCAAUCUUGUUUUUAGCUCUAAGAACUAUGCUCAUUGAACGACUCCAAGUGCUACAGUUAUCACCAUUCGAUGGCUUACUAAACAAGACAAUCCCUGGAUGAUCCGAGUGGUGAAGAAGAAAGGCGACCAAAAGAUUCACAAAAGAUGAAUAUAUCAUGCUAUAAAAUAUCUUCCCAAGAUGCACACCUUUCGUGUCUGCUACGAUCAUUGCGACUUCCACCUCCACAAGUGUUAAUGCAACACUCGUGGCUUCAUCACAUACCGCGCCUCAAUAGGAUUGACUUCAAAUAGGUAGACAAGUAGGCUCUUUGGAGAUCGUCUUUGUGGCAUAGCGAUAAUACAAAAGUAGUAGUGGAAGCUAAACUAUUUUGGUGGUUUUGAUACCAUAUAUAAAAAAAAUACUUGGGAGAAAUAUAAAAUUUCAUUGAACCCACUUUACGUUCCCAGAGUUUAUCUCCUCGAAGAUAAUGCCAUGAUAUCAAUAUAAUAGAAAUUAGAGGGACAUAGAUAAUGUUAGAAGCCUAACUUUGUUUUUUUUUAUCCUUAUUAUGUACAAUCGGACAUUAUCUGACGUGGGUAUUAGAAGAGAGUCGCAUGGAUCCCUUGGUGACGCUCUUUUAUUUUACAAUUUCCUCUUCGGAUGAGUAGAUCGAUUGUAUUGGAGACCCUUCAAUCUUGUUACGCUUAGUAAUAUUUUAUCGUCUUAUAAUAAUUGUUGUGGUUCUUUAUAUUGUGGCCCAAGAUCCAACAUAGUUUGAUUCGGUCCUGAUCGUGCGAGGGCAUCCACAUAGUCGCUUUGAAGGAUGACUGAAGAGGGAACGGAGAACCGAGGCUAGUAUCUCCUGGUCGACUCGAAAUGGAGCUGAGGUUAUCUCUGAUGUCGAAUUCCUACACAAUAGGUCGAUGUCAGGAAGGGAGAUUCCCGACUCGACCCCUCCAAAGCUUAGGUCAGUUUUUUAAUAAUAGUGAUUCAUAUCCCUAACGUAUACUUAGGGGUGACAUUUUAUACCUCUCGUUGAAGGUUAAUCGUAUGCAGGCUGUUAAUGACCAUCGACAUUCCAUGUGGUCUGUUCGUCCACUCCAAAUGGCAUGGGCUGACUGCUUUGGUUUCACCGCAGCGUGAGGCUGUCUUGCUUGAUUUUGAGUACUACUUCGUAUGGUCCCAUUUCGAGAUGCAAUCAGUAGUGCAACUUUUAGAUGCAUGCAUUAUGUCGAUGAGAUGGUGUCAUGUUGAUUCUACGAUGGCUAUCGAUUAUCAUUGUGGGCAGACACCAAAAUAUCCCAUAUCAAUAAUGAUAUAAGUUAUUGCUAUACAGACAAAUGAAUCUAGUCAGCCCUUUCCAUUUCUUCCUCAAUCUAGACAAAUUGUCAUUAUAUAUUAGAUAAAACCACUCACUUGCUGUAUAAGCCCGAAUUUUUUAAAAGCAGAAGUUGCUUAGUACAGAAUAAUUUAAAGCAACAAAAAAAAUCAUGGCUUGAUAUUUGAUAUUGUAGCUAUUUUUAAAGAAGGAACUCAUUAAUCUAUUCUGUUAGAUUAUGUGGUACAAUAACUUAUGAUAAAAUAAAUUAAAAUUUUAAUUAAAUUCGCCGCACAUUGUUCACGUUGCCAUCCCAACGAUUGCAACUAUGGGAUUCAAUAAUUCACUUGGGACGUAUGGAUAAUCCUCGACCACGUAAAAAUAAUUAAAAAUAUUUCCAUCUGCAUCACGCGGAUGCAUUCGUAUUAUAUUGUGGGGGACAAUAAUCAAUGCACCAAAUCUGGUACUGCAACUUUUUAUCUUGUUAUCGUCGUUCCAGGUUAAGUGUAAAAUUGAGAGUGAGAGAGUAGACACACUUGAGUUCUUGAAUUCCGAAUCCAUUAUUUCUUCUUGUCAACAAAUAUGUCCCACCAUACCCAUCAUAUAUUAAAGGCUCGAGCAUCGUGGCACUAUAAAUAGGACAAGAGGAGGGCGGAGGGAAAACGCACUACAUCAUACUUGCACGGGUGCAUUGUGAUAGAAAGCUCAGCGGUAAGCAAUGGCUGGAGGAGGCAAAAAGAGGUGAAGGGUCGUCUUCUUCUAAUUGUUGAUAAGGUAUGUUUGGGUUACGCGUCACAACCAACGCCACACUACGUUAUAGUUGGGUUAGCAAGGGGAGCACCCCCACACACUAAGUCAGAAUUCGUAUCGAUGCCGGAUCAGCAAGGGGAGCAUCCCCACAUACUAAGUCAGAAUCAGUACCAAGACACUGUUCGAUAUGUCUCGUCCCAUAAGUUUGGGGCGACGCCGUCUGAUGUCGUCCCGCAUGUCCCGGGACAACGGUCGCACAGUACCGUCUCAUCCCCCGAGGAUCAAUCGACACACUAAACCCGCAUGCGACCGACUCUCGUAUAAUAAUAUAAAAAUCCUUAGCCAACAUCCAUCCAAGGAGGAGGGAAGGACACAAAGGAGAAGAGAAAAACAACUACUAACUUGCUCGUCGGAUGGGCCAAAGUCAGGAAUCCCCGACGAAGGUCACUUUUAUAGGCAAGUGGCCGCCCCCGAGCAACAAGCGUCUCGACAUGGGAAUCGUCAUCCAGUGAACGAAGGCGAGCUGCCAACCAGCCUGGGAACGAAGAGACGCUGCUCAACGCAGAUGACGCCCGGACCAAGAAACGUUGAUUAACACCCCGUCGCGAGGGCCCGGCCUACCUUAGCGUCCAACUCAGUCAGCAGAAGACUACCGACAUCGACUCGUGGACCGAGCCGUGCUGACUCACCAGUCACGGCACAUUUGUUCACCAACACUUGUGACGCUGCUCGUGACGUAGUUGGCCUUCUUCGCCACCGACUCCUCGGCAGCCCGUGUCACACCCCGUCCGCAAUCCCUCGCCAGAGGUAGGUAGAUAAAUAUGCAUGCGAACAUGUAUAUGAUUGGGCUGGAGAUCGAAGCAUCGUUAAUUCCGUCUUCAUGCUGCAGCGGCACUGAGUGCGUUGGGAGCAAGGGCAGAUGGGCCGUGCUGCAGAUGCAUCUGUCCUCUCAUUUACCCACCUACUCGGUGCAUUUGCGGCGGCGUAUGGCAAGGCUCCUGCCCUUCCGCCUGCACCAACUGCCAGUGUGUUCUCAACGAGUGCACUUGCCUCGAUCACGUGGACUACAAGGCCUGCGAGGCCGAUUCCUGUGCCUGGCUUGAUGCAGCCCGCAAAGUAGAGCCGUCGCAGCAGUGGGCGAUCGAAGAAACCGGUGGGAAAUUAGCGACGAUGGUGUGAUCCAAAUGUGUUUGUGUUCGCCCGUCGUCUUCUCUCUCUCUCUCCGUGCUAUCCAUCUAUCCAUCCAUCUACUUAUAAUCCAUCUCGUGUACCGUGCGGUGUUACUUCGCUUCAGUAAUAAAAUGCUUGUGCUUUUAUGGUGACGGAUGCAUCGUUGCACUGCUGAAUCCACGUACGACGACCACUUGAAAUGAUGAAUAUUUUGUAUGAUAACUAUUAUUCCAAAACAUCGGCAAUAAAUUAUACACGUAAUAUUGAACAUGCUGUCUGCUGUAUAAGUCGACCAAGCCGAUUUAGAUUCAUCAAGAUCCUAAUUCACUUCUCAAUUAGGUAAACUUUACUAGAUCAGCGAUCAUCAUUUAAUCGAAACCAUAUUAUAGAGUUGGAUUUCAUAUGUGAAGUUAUAGCACCCAUUGAACAGCUUAGGUCCUUGGAAAUUUUAUCUGCUGCAAUCUCUAAUGUUAUAGCACCCAUCGAAAAGUCAGUCCUUUUAGUUUUUGUUUUUCUUAUGUUAUUGGAGCCUGAAAUCAGUGAGUAACACCUGCUAAGAAUGGACCCGGUCAGAGACUCCCUUACGUUGUCUCGAUAGGAUAUGCUUGAGGAGGAUCCUACAAUGCCAGACUAACGUUACUUCUGCCACCAUAUGCUGAGAAUAAAUUUAACUUAGUAGUAGAUGAUCAUUUUUCAGUAAUAAAUUUAACUUAGUAAUAUCUAUAUGUAGUAUUUUAAACAUUAAAUUAAUGGUGGUGCAUUAAACCAAUUUAUUAUAGGUUUAAUAUCGAAGUUUUAUCUAAUAUAUUUUUAAAAAAUACUAGUUAGCUUAGCUAAUAAAUAUUUUAUGAUGUAUCACAAUAUCUUGGGUUAGAAUUUUGCUGCUAGUCAUUAAAAAAUAAUAUAUAAAUUACUUCAUCUACUAAUUGGACGGGCUGCUGCACCGGUCCUUAGAAUCUUGCCUUCACGAACAAGUAGGUGAUAGAUACUGUUCGUUGCUUCUCCCUCCCCUCCCUCAACUUGCCCAUAUUUAUAGUGCAUGGAGAGGUCCGCCACGCACUUGAUGGUUGGCUUGGGUGGUUAAGAGCUGCCAUAAACAUCCACGAGCUGAGCGUGGAAUUGUUUUUAGUUACUUUCAAGUUGUCAUGUCUAUCAGUAAAAUGAUUACAGAUUCCCAAAGGAAUACAGUACUGUUGUAGACAAGUAAUUAAUAUUGAUUUCACGCGCAACGCGCCGAUGCACGCCGAGUUCCCGUCCCCAUCGUUCGAAUAGUCUAUGGCUGCUCUUAUCCACCCAAGCCAACCAUCACAUGGUGCGCGGAUCUCCAUGCAGUAUAAAUAUGGCCAAAGGGAGGGAGUGUGGUAGAAGCAACGAGCUGUACUGACUCAUACAUACAUAGGUCGUGUGUGAUAGAGAACUAAACAAUGGGUGGAGGAGGAGGCAGAAGAGGUACUGAAGCCUCUCUUCUUCUUCUUCUUCGUCUUCUUCGUAUGCUGAUGCUGGCCUUCAUCGCCACCAACUCAGCAGUAGUUGCCUCUCCCUCCCCUUCUAUUUGAACGGUGGGGACCGGAGCUCGGCGUGCAUCCGCGCGUUGCGCGUGAAAUCAUUUUUACUUACUCGUCCACAACAGUACUUUAUUUGUUUUGUAAUCUGUAAUCAUAUUAAUUAAAGAUACGUCAACUUGAAACUAAAUAAAAACAAUUCCAUCUGCAUCGCGCGGAUGCAUUUAUAUUAGAUUAUAGGGGACAGUAAUUAAUGCACCGAUGCACCUUCACCAUGUCUGGUGCUGCAACUUUUAUCCGGCCAUCGUUGUUCGACGUUCAAGUGUCAUCUUGAGAGAGAGAGAGAGAGAGAGGACACUAUCGAGCUCUUGAAUCCUGCAUCCAUUAUUUAUUCUCAUGAACACGCACAUCCGGUUGAAUGAAGUCACAUGCAUUUAUGGGAUAUUUAAAUCCAGCUUACCGUCCGACUAUUGAUGGCUCGUGGCUCGAGCAUCGUGGCACCAUAAAUAGGACAAGAGGAGGGCAGAGCGAAAACGCACUACCUCAUACUUGCACAGGUACGUUGUGAUAGAAAGCUCAGCGGUAAGCAAUGGCUGGAGGAGGCAAAAGAGGUGAAGCGUCGUCUCUUCUCCUUGUGACGCUGCUCGUGACGUUGUUGGCCUUCUUCGCCACCGACUCCUCGGCAGCCCGUGUCACACCCCAUCCGCAAUCCCUCGCCAGAGGUAGGUAGAUAAAUAUGCAUGCGAACAUGUAUAUGAUCGGGCUGGAGAUCGAGGCAUCGUUAAUUCCGUCUUCAUGCUGCAGCGGCACUGAGUGCGUUGGGGGUAAGGAAAGAUCCGCCGUGCUGCACAUGCGUCUGUCCUCUCAUUUACCCACCUCCGUUUUGCUUUUGCGGCGGCGUAUGGCAAGGCUUCUGCCCUUCCGCCUGCACCAACUGCGAGUGUGUCCUCAACGAGUGCACUUGCAUCGAUCGUGUGGACCCCAAGGCCUGCGAGGCCGACUCCUGUUCCUCGCUCGAUGCAGCCCCCAA
rnacentral:lncRNA from 1 species